rnacentral:lncRNA from 1 species
GAAGGAGAUGAAGAUGGUGAUCAACAUCGAGGUUGAGGUGAAGAUGAAGAUGAAAAAGAUAAGUAGUUGACAACCCAACUUGUUCGAUGAAACCUUAAACCUACUUGACACCCACCCGAUUUUGGCACACAUUCAAGACACUGAUGAUUUUUUUAUUUGUAAUUUUUCUCCAAUACUUCAUUUUUUUUAUUUUGUUAAAUUUUAAUUUGU